UUCUAAGCAAUUGAGAUGGAUCUACUGGCGAGGAUUUCCUUUAAACUACAUACCUAACAACUUUUAUCUGAAAGAGGCAAUUGUGAUUGAUUUCCAACACAGUAAUCUUAGACUAAUGUGGAAUGAACCCCAGGUGCUGCGGUGGCUGAAAAUCCUCAAUCUCAGUCAUUCCAUGUUCUUAAUUGAAACUCCCGACUUUUCAGAACUACGAAAUCUUGAAAAGCUCAUUGUCAAAAAUUGUCCAAGAUUGCGCAAGGUACACCAAUCCAUU
rnacentral:sRNA from 1 species